GAUGAACGCUAGCGGCAGGCUUAACACAUGCAAGUCGAGGGGUAUAGUUCUUCGGAGCUAGAGACCGGCGCACGGGUGCGUAACGCGUAUGCAAUCUACCUUUUGCAGAGGGAUAGCCCAGAGAAAUUUGGAUUAAUACCUCAUGGUAUGUGAGAAUGGCAUCAUUUUCACAUUAAAGUCACAACGGCAAAAGAUGAGCAUGCGUCCCAUUAGCUAGUUGGUAAGGUAACGGCUUACCAAGGCAACGAUGGGUAGGGGUCCUGAGAGGGAGCUCCCCCACACUGGUACUGAGACACGGACCAGACUCCUACGGGAGGCAGCAGUGAGGAAUAUUGGACAAUGGGCGCAAGCCUGAUCCAGCCAUGCCGCGUGCAGGAUGACGGUCCUAUGGAUUGUAAACUGCUUUUGUACAGGAAGAAACACUGGUUCGUGAACCAGCUUGACGGUACUGUAAGAAUAAGGAUCGGCUAACUCCGUGCCAGCCGCCGCUGUAAAAC
rnacentral:rRNA from 1 species